ensembl:snRNA U6 U6 spliceosomal RNA
GUGCUCGCUUCAGUAGCACAUAUACUAAAAUUGGAACGGCAGAGAAGAUUAGCAUGGCCCCUGUGCAAGGAUGACAUGCAAAUUCGUGAAGCGUUCCAUAUUUUU